rnacentral:lncRNA from 1 species
GCUAAAUAGAGUUAUCAUAUGCAUGGCUUAGCAUAAUUCAGAUUAAAGCAGUAGAAUAAACCUUGAGAAAUAUUUCAAGAGGAAAUAAUUUUGUUGCCAAGUCAUGUUUUCUGAAACAUAAAUGUUUCUUUCAGAUCAGUUUCUGAGCAUCUGCUGGAAGUGUUGCAGUUUCUGGACUACGACGUCCUGUUGUAGCCCUAUUCAGCCUCACACUGACCCUUCAGAGCUGGCAUGGACUCAGGAGUCAAACAGAAAGCUGGGUGCAAAGUGGCCUGGUUCUGGAUAAAAACUUUCAUGGAGUGAUGGGUGUCCCAUAUGCAGAUGCAUUCCAAAUGUGUAAGGCAAGCAGUCUCCAGGGAAGUUCAACAAUUGUACAACAAACCAGACAUUUUUGUGGGUUACAACGUUACAAGCUGAGCCCUGGAUGCCCUGUGUUGACAGCAGAUAGAUACCACGUCUGCUUCUUGGCCAAAACAGCAAAG